GACGAACGCUGGCGGCAUGCCUAACACAUGCAAGUCGAACGGUAAGGCCCUCUUCGGAGGGUACACGAGUGGCGAACGGGUGAGUAACACGUGGGUAACCUGCCCUUCACUGGGGGACAACCGAGGGAAACUUCGGCUAAUACCGCAUGAUGUGCGAUGCCAUGAGGUGUCGUACCAAAACUCCGGUGGUGAAGGAUGGGCCCGCGGCGGAUUAGCUUGUUGGUGGGGUAAUGGCCUACCAAGGCGACGAUCCGUAGCUGGUCUGAGAGGACGAUCAGCCACACUGGGACUGAGACACGGCCCAGACUCCUACGGGAGGCAGCAGUGGGGAAUCUUGCGCAAUGGGCGAAAGCCUGACGCAGCAAUGCCGCGUGAGGGAAGAAGGUCUUAGGAUUGUAAACCUCUUUCAGCAGGGACGAAAACAGACGGUACCUGCAGAAGAAGCCCCGGCUAACUACGUGCCAGCCGCCGCCGUAAUAC
rnacentral:rRNA from 1 species